AGUGGGGUUGCUGGAUCAUGUAGUAAUUCUAGUUCAAAUGUUUGAGGAACUACCAGAAUGCUUUCCACAGCAACUGCGCCAUUUUGUAUUUCCAUCAUCAAU
rnacentral:pre_miRNA from 1 species